AAAAGAAAUCAACCGAGAUUCCCCCAGUAGCGGCGAGCGAACGGGGAGCAGCCCAGAGCCUGAAUCAGUGUGUGUGUUAGUGGAAGCGUCUGGAAAGGCGUGCGAUACAGGGUGACAGCCCCGUACACAAAAAUGCACAUACUGUGAGCUCGAUGAGUAGGGCGGGACACGUGGUAUCCUGUCUGAAUAUGGGGGGACCAUCCUCCAAGGCUAAAUACUCCUGACUGACCGAUAGUGAACCAGUACCGUGAGGGAAAGGCGAAAAGAACCCCGGCGAGGGGAGUGAAAAAGAACCUGAAACCGUGUACGUACAAGCAGUGGGAGCACGCUUAGGCGUGUGACUGCGUACCUUUUGUAUAAUGGGUCAGCGACUUAUAUUCUGUAGCAAGGUUAACCGAAUAGGGGAGCCGAAGGGAAACCGAGUCUUAACUGGGCGUUAAGUUGCAGGGUAUAGACCCGAAACCCGGUGAUCUAGCCAUGGGCAGGUUGAAGGUUGGGUAACACUAACUGGAGGACCGAACCGACUAAUGUUGAAAAAUUAGCGGAUGACUUGUGGCUGGGGGUGAAAGGCCAAUCAAACCGGGAGAUAGCUGGUUCUCCCCGAAAGCUAUUUAGGUAGCGCCUCGUGAAUUCAUCUCCGGGGGUAGAGCACUGUUUCGGCAAGGGGGUCAUCCCGACUUACCAACCCGAUGCAAACUGCGAAUACCGGAGAAUGUUAUCACGGGAGACACACGGCGGGUGCUAACGUCCGUCGUGAAGAGGGAAACAACCCAGACCGCCAGCUAAGGUCCCAAAGUCAUGGUUAAGUGGGAAACGAUGUGGGAAGGCCCAGACAGCCAGGAUGUUGGCUUAGAAGCAGCCAUCAUUUAAAGAAAGCGUAAUAGCUCACUGGUCGAGUCGGCCUGCGCGGAAGAUGUAACGGGGCUAAACCAUGCACCGAAGCUGCGGCAGCGACGCUUAUGCGUUGUUGGGUAGGGGAGCGUUCUGUAAGCCUGUGAAGGUGUGCUGUGAGGUAUGCUGGAGGUAUCAGAAGUGCGAAUGCUGACAUAAGUAACGAUAAAGCGGGUGAAAAGCCCGCUCGCCGGAAGACCAAGGGUUCCUGUCCAACGUUAAUCGGGGCAGGGUGAGUCGACCCCUAAGGCGAGGCCGAAAGGCGUAGUCGAUGGGAAACAGGUUAAUAUUCCUGUACUUGGUGUUACUGCGAAGGGGGGACGGAGAAGGCUAUGUUGGCCGGGCGACGGUUGUCCCGGUUUAAGCGUGUAGGCUGGUUUUCCAGGCAAAUCCGGAAAAUCAAGGCCGAGGCGUGAUGACGAGGCACUACGGUGCUGAAGCAACAAAUGCCCUGCUUCCAGGAAAAGCCUCUAAGCAUCAGGUAACAUCAAAUCGUACCCCAAACCGACACAGGUGGUCAGGUAGAGAAUACCAAGGCGCUUGAGAGAACUCGGGUGAAGGAACUAGGCAAAAUGGUGCCGUAACUUCGGGAGAAGGCACGCUGAUACGUAGGUGAAGCGACUUGCUCGUGGAGCUGAAAUCAGUCGAAGAUACCAGCUGGCUGCAACUGUUUAUUAAAAACACAGCACUGUGCAAACACGAAAGUGGACGUAUACGGUGUGACGCCUGCCCGGUGCCGGAAGGUUAAUUGAUGGGGUUAGCGCAAGCGAAGCUCUUGAUCGAAGCCCCGGUAAACGGCGGCCGUAACUAUAACGGUCCUAAGGUAGCGAAAUUCCUUGUCGGGUAAGUUCCGACCUGCACGAAUGGCGUAAUGAUGGCCAGGCUGUCUCCACCCGAGACUCAGUGAAAUUGAACUCGCUGUGAAGAUGCAGUGUACCCGCGGCAAGACGGAAAGACCCCGUGAACCUUUACUAUAGCUUGACACUGAACAUUGAGCCUUGAUGUGUAGGAUAGGUGGGAGGCUUUGAAGUGUGGACGCCAGUCUGCAUGGAGCCGACCUUGAAAUACCACCCUUUAAUGUUUGAUGUUCUAACGUGGACCCGUGAUCCGGGUUGCGGACAGUGUCUGGUGGGUAGUUUGACUGGGGCGGUCUCCUCCUAAAGAGUAACGGAGGAGCACGAAGGUUGGCUAAUCCUGGUCGGACAUCAGGAGGUUAGUGCAAUGGCAUAAGCCAGCUUGACUGCGAGCGUGACGGCGCGAGCAGGUGCGAAAGCAGGUCAUAGUGAUCCGGUGGUUCUGAAUGGAAGGGCCAUCGCUCAACGGAUAAAAGGUACUCCGGGGAUAACAGGCUGAUACCGCCCAAGAGUUCAUAUCGACGGCGGUGUUUGGCACCUCGAUGUCGGCUCAUCACAUCCUGGGGCUGAAGUAGGUCCCAAGGGUAUGGCUGUUCGCCAUUUAAAGUGGUACGCGAGCUGGGUUUAGAACGUCGUGAGACAGUUCGGUCCCUAUCUGCCGUGGGCGCUGGAGAACUGAGGGGGGCUGCUCCUAGUACGAGAGGACCGGAGUGGACGCAUCACUGGUGUUCGGGUUGUCAUGCCAAUGGCACUGCCCGGUAGCUAAAUGCGGAAGAGAUAAGUGCUGAAAGCAUCUAAGCACGAAACUUGCCCCGAGAUGAGUUCUCCCUGACCCUUUAAGGGUCCUGAAGGAACGUUGAAGACGACGACGUUGAUAGGCCGGGUGUGUAAGCGCAGCGAUGCGUUGAGCUAACCGGUACUAAUGAACCGUGAGGCUUAACCUUACAACGCCGAAG
rnacentral:rRNA from 1 species